rnacentral:rRNA from 1 species
GACGAACGCUGGCGGCGUGCUUAACACAUGCAAGUCGAACGCUGAAGCCCUUUCGGGGGUGGAUGAGUGGCGAACGGGUGAGUAACACGUGGGUAAUCUGCCCUAUACUUCGGGAUAAGCCUUGGAAACGGGGUCUAAUACCGGAGAGGACCUGUCUUCGCAUGGGGGUGGGUGGAAAGUUCCGGCGGUAUGGGAGGAGCCCGCGGCCUAUCAGCUUGUUGGGGGGGUAGUGGCCUACCAAGGCGACGACGGGUAGCCGGCCUGAGAGGGUGACCGGUCACACUGGGACUGAGACACGGCCCAGACUCCUACGGGAGGCAGCAGUGGGGAAUCUUGCGCAAUGGGCGAAAGCCUGACGCAGCAACGCCGCGUGGGGGAUGACGGCCUUCGGGUUGUAAACCUCUUUCGACAUCGACGAAGGGGCCCUGUUGUGGGGUUUUGACGGUAGGUGUAGAAGAAGCACCGGCUAACUACGUGCCAGCCGCCGCAGUAA